rnacentral:rRNA from 1 species
AACGUAGGUGGCAAGCGUUAUCCGGAUUUACUGGGCGUAAAGGGUGUGCAGGCGGGUGACCAAGUGGUGUAUGAAAGGGUCAGGCUUAACCUGGCGAGGGUAUGCCAGACUGGUCGUCUAGAACGUGAGAGAGGGACGUGGAAUUCCGGGUGUGAGUGGUGAAAUGCGUAGAGAUCCGGAGGAACACCAGAGGCGAAAGCGGCGUCCUGGCUCACUGUUGACGCUCAGACACGAAAGCAUGGGGAGCGAACGGG